UUAUCGCCUGAGGAUGAGCCCGCGUCGGAUUAGCUAGUUGGUGAGGUAAGAGCUCACCAAGGCGACGAUCCGUAGCUGGUCUGAGAGGAUGAUCAGCCACACUGGGACUGAGACACGGCCCAGACUCCUACGGGAGGCAGCAGUGGGGAAUAUUGGACAAUGGGCGAAAGCCUGAUCCAGCAAUGCCGCGUGAGUGAUGAAGGCCUUAGGGUUGUAA
rnacentral:rRNA from 1 species